CGAGGAGAGCGGCAUGGCCUUUGCUCAAGGAUGACAUGCAAAUUGGUGAAGUGUUCCAUAUUUUU
ensembl:snRNA U6 U6 spliceosomal RNA